AUGUAAAUUCAGCAGAGUAAAUUAUCUCUCUUAUUAAAAUUUAAUUUCUCCUCAAAUGUGGGGUAAAAUAAUAACAAUUGUCCUAUUUGUGAACUAAAACUAAACUCCAUUUUUAAUUUCAUCUCUGGGCUCUUUAGGAAAGAGUUCAGCUGGAAACAAUUACAAUGAAGGCCGAUGUCCCAUCAUUAAUGAUGUUUGUUCUCUACACACAGAAAGUGUAGAGAUUGCAAAUAUAUGUUAUGGUGCUGAAUGGAAGCUGGGAGUUUAAAUGCAUUGUGCAGGAAUCUUGGUUCAGAAACAUGCUCAAUUCUGCAUUCCAGCCUCUUCAAAUUAGGAUAAGUUGGUUAGGAAGCUAACUUGCCAUUUUUACAGGCUAUCUCUUGGGAUGAAGACAUUUGGUUUCGGACCAGUUUUUGCUGCAAGCAUUGAUAUUUUGGACAAUACUUUGCAACUGUUCUCUCCAUGGACUUGUAAAGGAUGUGCAAUGGAAUCACGACUUGUCAUGAAGUGGAACAUAAAUCCUGCUCCUGCCUAACCAUGUGUUUCCAGCAUUUUCUGAAUUAAUUUCAGAUUUCCAGCAUUUCUGUUUAAAAAAUAAAUUUCAACUGGCAUAUGAGCUCUGUUUAACAAUUGUCACAGUUAUAAAUUCACAAAUUACCCCAUCACAUUAUCUAUGUAAUGGUGUACUGAGACUAUCAAUGGUCACUGUU